AGAGUUUGAUCCUGGCUCAGGACGAACGCUGGCGGCGCGCCUAACACAUGCAAGUCGAACGAAGAACUUAAGGAAUGCGACUUCGGUCAAAUGAUAUUUGUUCUUAGUGGCGGACGGGUGAGUAACACGUGAGCAACCUGCCUUUCAGAGGGGGAUAACGUUUGGAAACGAACGCUAAUACCGCAUAACGUACUUUUUGGGCAUCCAUGAAGUACCAAAGGAGCAAUCCGCUGAGAGAUGGGCUCGCGUCCGAUUAGCUAGAUGGUGAGGUAACGGCCCACCAUGGCGACGAUCGGUAGCCGGACUGAGAGGUCGAACGGCCACAUUGGGACUGAGACACGGCCCAGACUCCUACGGGAGGCAGCAGUGGGGAAUAUUGGUCAAUGGGGGAAACCCUGAACCAGCGACGCCGCGUGAGGGAAGACGGUUUUCGGAUUGUAAACCUCUGUCCUUGGGGACGAAUAAAUGACUGUACCCAAGGAGGAAGCCACGGCUAACUACGUGCCAGCAGCCGCGGUAAUACGUAGGUGGCAAGCGUUGUCCGGAAUUACUGGGUGUAAAGGGAGUGUAGGCGGGACAGUAAGUUGAAUGUUAAACCUAUCGGCUCAACCGGUAGUCGCGUUCAAAACUGCUGUUCUUGAGUGAAGUAGAGGCAGGCGGAAUUCCUAGUGUAGCGGUGAAAUGCGUAGAUAUUAGGAGGAACACCAGUGGCGAAGGCGGCCUGCUGGGCUUUUACUGACGCUGAGGCUCGAAAGUGUGGGGAGCAAACAGGAUUAGAUACCCUGGUAGUCCACACUGUAAACGAUGAUUACUAGGUGUGGGGGGACUGACCCCUUCCGUGCCGGAGUUAACACAAUAGGUAAUCCACCUGGGGAGUACGGCCGCAAGGCUGAAACUCAAAGGAAUUGACGGGGGCCCGCACAAGCAGUGGAGUAUGUGGUUUAAUUCGAAGCAACGCGAAGAACCUUACCAGGUCUUGACAUCCAACUAACGAAAUAGAGAUAUAUUAGGUGCCCUUCGGGGAAAGUUGAGACAGGUGGUGCAUGGUUGUCGUCAGCUCGUGUCGUGAGAUGUUGGGUUAAGUCCCGCAACGAGCGCAACCCCUACUGUUAGUUGCUACGCAAGAGCACUCUAGCAGGACUGCCGUUGAUAAAACGGAGGAAGGUGGGGAUGACGUCAAAUCAUCAUGCCCUUUAUGACCUGGGCUACACACGUACUACAAUGGCCGUAAACAGAGGGAAGCAAAACAGCGAUGUAGAGCAAACCCCUAAAAGCGGUCUCAGUUCGGAUUGUAGGCUGCAACCCGCCUACAUGAAGUCGGAAUUGCUAGUAAUCGCGGAUCAGCAUGCCGCGGUGAAUACGUUCCCGGGCCUUGUACACACCGCCCGUCACACCAUGAGAGUCGGUAACACCCGAAGUCAGUAGUCUAACCGCAAGGGGGACGCUGCCGAAGGUGGGAUUGAUGAUUGGGGUGAAGUCGUAACAAGGUAGCCGUAUCGGAAGGUGCGGCUGGAUCACCUCCUU
rnacentral:rRNA from 1 species